UUUUUGUUAUGUUUUGUUUCACAUUCUUUGACUAGUGUUAAAAAAAAGUUUGCAAGUCAGACUUGCGAGGACGUGAAUCCUCUCAAGAUUGACAGACUCGCUAUAGUGCACAGAGUUGGAUAGUGGAGGUCAGGCCUCUAAUCGCUUCCGCAGAAAAGAGCACCCUAAUAUUCACUAAUGAUCCUUCCGCAGGUUCACCUACGGAAA
rnacentral:misc_RNA from 1 species